UACAUUGUUUUUGUUUUCCUCCAUUCACCCUUGCACCUCUUCUCCCCUUAAGUCAUUUCUUUCUUUUUACUUAGAAUGGCCCUUAGAUGCGGCCGUUGUUGAGCCCAUAAGGGAAUUUGCACAGACCGACUCAUUAUGAGACAUAAGUUUAAAAGUGCAGAUGUAUAUUGUGAUGCUGACCUUGUGCACAGAGGACUUGUGCCCUUCGCUAUCGUUGCCUAGUUGACCUCUCUGGUCCCCAGCGAGACCACAUCAGGCGUUGUUAAAGGCCUGGACCCCGGACGCACUACAACACAGGUUCUGGGUAGGAAAACCAAAGUAACAGGAAGCCCGUUGGGUUAAUGCCUGCAAACACACAUCAGCGUCGCACCACAGAACACUUUCUCAUCUCACACACACACACACACACACACACACACAGUGCAGACACGAAGUCCCCCACCCACCCCAGUGUGGUGACACGCUGCAAUAAAGCUUUUUGCACACAUAUAUGUAAGCCUUUGAGUUGUGCAUUGCAUCAUCACUUGUCUUCACUUGCAGGUUUAAAAAAGGGUUUUCAUUUUAGUUUUCAUAGUGUCAUAGUAGUCACCGAGAAAGUUGCAGUGUGUGUGCUUUAUGUGCAUGUGUUUAGUGGCAUUUGCAGAUUUAAAUUUGUUCGUUACUUGUUAGUUGUUGCAUUAAAGGCUGGCCCUUCCAGCUCCACCAACACUACCUACUUCCCAUCUCUCUCACUCACACACACACACACAGCUGUAUGAUCCACAGUUGCCAGAAACCACAUUCAACCCUAUUUGAAUAAAAAUGUAAUAUGCUGUUAUUAUAUUCUUUUUUCUUAAUUAUUUUACUGAAGAGACCUGUUGUUCUGUUGAGGACUGAUGGAGGAACACGUGGGCAGUAGAGGGCUAACCUGCAACUUAAUCUCACUUGAACUGUAUAUAAACAGUGGUUUUAUUAAAAUAAAGAGAUAUAAAUAUUCAACCUGGAGCAGUGGGUUGUUUAACUGAUUCAAACAUUUGGCCUAUUACUCCCACAGGUUUAUUAUAUGAUGAAUAUGCCCAGGGUAUAUGUAUAUGAAGGUUUUAUUGUGAAAGGUAAGAGUAGAAGGCUAUGGAUUACAUUAUAUUUUGGAUAUAUUCGUAGCACAGAAGUUUAAAAAAAUAAAGGAUGUUCCAAAGAAAUAUCUGCUUCGUUCCAAGAUCAAUUACAAUAUUUCACAUUAAAAUAAUAUUGUAUUUGUGUGACAAACUACAGUAAUAAAACAUACUUUUAAAUUGAUAGCAUGAAACAAACAUCCCUGUUUAACAGUUAUCAAU
ensembl:lncRNA